CAGAAGUCUGUUCACUCACACUCUCUCUCCAUCUCUCUGUGUCAUUGAUUCAGAUGUAGGAGCGCAUGAACUUCCCCCAAGUUCUCUGGUGACAUUCUGUCUCCUGGAAGGGUCUAUGGGACAGAUUCCUGAGAAGUGUAAGAGGAUCCCCACUUGAUCCCAGCUGACCGAGGGGUUGUGGAGUCCAGAAACAUGCCUGGAGACAGGAGAGCCAAUCAGACGGAGCGAGGGAGGGGCCGCUGCAACAUAUGUUAAACCAAGCUGGUUUCCUGAACAACCACACAGCGCUAGUCCGGAUGUCUCAUGUCACACAGUACUCUGUGUGCUAGGCCAGCUGUGCCCUUUCCUCCCCUCUUGUCUCCUCCCCUUGUUUUGCGUUAAAGGUGACCCAUAAUUCCCAUGAGUUUGGCCCUACUUGGGUUAUUCCUCCAGAAGUCGUCAGCUGUGAGAAUACACUCACAGCAGAACGACCUCACGAGCCUCUACUGCUGUUAGUCAGCCAAAUGUUAAGUCAAUGCACAACAGUACACAAACAAACAACAGCAUGGCUGCAACACUUUUGGUAGCAGCUAGAAUUUGCUUUGCAGUAAGAUUUGACCCUCUGUUCCCUGCUCCUGGUGCUUAGGUUUGUAUAGUAUGUCACAAUAGGGCUUUUAUACCACUCGGAUUCUUGGCUUUCUUUUGUUUGGCACCGACUCCAUGCUUUUUUCCCCUGUAGUUUGGCACCAGUGACCUCUCUCCACCUGCUUCUUACUCUAAACCAGACUGUCAGGUCGGUCUGGUUAUUAAGCCAAAGAUAAGAACUCUGCAGGACUCACCACUAAUUGUCUCUUCUCUCCUAUGCAGGUGCCAAAAAUUGUUACUCAGUUGUGGUGAACCAGCACUAAAAUACAGACAACUCAUCAGUCAACAUUAACUCACUCUCAUGUUGUUCCAAACCAGUAUGAAAUUUUUUUUUUUUUUCACAAGGAAGACAUUUUGAAGAAGUUGUUUAGCACUGGAAAGAAUACCAGUGAAAGGAUAGGUUUGUGCUAUAUGCUAGUAUUUUAAACAUUUUAAAUUAAAAACGUCCAGCCAGGGAAGCGUUAAAUCAAGCAUGGACGCAUGAAGCUGUGUAGAGCUUUACAAAAGUUAAAAUUCAUAACAUUUUUCUCUCACACAUACCACUUUCAGUACAUGGAUUAUUUUUCUUAAAACCGUUGUUUAUGUUCAUCUGAUGAAAAGAAGUCAUAAAUAUGCGGGACGACAUGAAGGUAAAUAAUAAGAGAAUUUCUGGGCCAAAACCUAAAAUUCAAGAUGCACUCGGAUGAAAAAUAACUAAAUUUUAUUUAAUAAUCAAAUGUUAGUUAUUCAAGAUUUUAUGUUUUCAUAAAAGAAUUAUGUUUCUACUCCAAUUUGUUAUUGAAAAAUAAACAUUGAGCAGUGCCUUUUUUUAUUGAUAGA
ensembl:lncRNA